UACGUAGGGGGCUAGCGUUGUCCGGAAUCAUUGGGCGUAAAGCGCGCGUAGGCGGCCCGGUAAGUCCGUUGUGAAAGUCAAAGGCUCAACCUUUGAAAGCCGAUGGAUACUGCCGGGCUGGAGUCCGGAAGAGGAGAGUGGAAUUCCUGGUGUAGCGGUGAAAUGCGCAGAUAUCAGGAAGAACACCAAUGGCGAAGGCAGCUCUCUGGGACGGUACUGACGCUGAGACGCGAAAGUGUGGGGAGCGAACAGG
rnacentral:rRNA from 1 species